rnacentral:miRNA from 2 species
CUGUGGGCCACCUAGUCACCAA